rnacentral:rRNA from 1 species
GACGAACGCUGGCGGCGUGCUUAACACAUGCAAGUCGAGCGGUAAGGCCCUUUCGGGGGUACACGAGCGGCGAACGGGUGAGUAACACGUGGGUGACCUGCCCUCAGCUCUGGGAUAAGCCUGGGAAACCGGGUCUAAUACUGGAUAUGACUCCAUGACGCAUGUUGUGGGGUGGAAAGCCUUGUGCGGCUGAGGAUGGGCCCGCGGCCUAUCAGCUUGGUUGGUGGGGUGANGGCCUACCAAGGCGACGACGGGUAGCCGGCCUGAGAGGGCGACCGGCCACACUGGGACUGAGACACGGCCCAGACUCCUACGGGAGGCAGCAGGUGGGGAAUCUUGCGCAAUGGGCGAAAGCCUGACGCAGCGACGCCGCGUGAGGGAU